GCUCGCCGGCGCCCGGCGUAUUCGUAUAAACAACUUCGUCGCAUUCAGAUCUGCAAAUUCAGUUUUUUUUCAAACAUCCUCCCACGUAUAUGUGUCAAUUUUGAAAGCUGUUUAACAACAACAAAAUGUAGACAGUGAAGACGUGUGAGGAGUGCAACCAACACCCUCCGGGGAUUGGUCUUGAACAAUCCAUAUGCAUCUCACCUGGAUUUGUUUUUUCAAAUGAAUUGAAGAAGGUCAGCAGCAAUAGAGCUGUAAAGUAUGAUUUAUCAUCAUCAACAUCAAUCUCUCUAAG